CCGUAAUCGCAAAGUUUGAUGUCCAUUUUUAGUACCUAGAUUUACGCAUGCGUACAAAAUUCUAACCUGUAUUUACACAUGUGUAUAAAUCUGUCAAAAUAUAAUCAUUUCUAACCUGCGUGUUAUCAUCAAAGCAACAAAUCUAAAAGCGAUUGUUCUUAAUUCUUGACAUUCAAAAUUGAUUUCAAUGAAUAAAGAAAAAGUUUUCAUUGCAUAUUCAUUUCUUCAAUUACAUUUUAUGUACAAAAUUGUGAUGAAAAGGAAAAAGUCUAAACGUUGGAUACAUAGAAAGUGGCUUGUAAGACCAAUUAACACACGUCGAAUGUUGCAAGGUGAUUUUCAUCAUCUUUUCCAAGAAAUGAAGGAAGACGCGGAUUUAUUUUUCCGAUAUACACGAAUGGAUGUCAAUACGUUCAACAUUUUUUUAACAAUACUUCUUCCAUAUUUGUCAUUAAAAAGCACAAAAGCUUUGCCGCCCGAACAACGCCUCGCAAUUACACUCAGAUAUCUCGCUACAGGCGAUCAAAUGCUGUCAGUAGCAUUAGCCUAUUGAGUAGGCGAAUCAACAGCACAUGCUAUUGUAAAGAAAACAUGUGCUGCGAUAAUUACUGCGUUAUCGCCUCGUUUCUUGCGUACUCCAGAUGAAGAAGAAUGGAAAAAAAUUUGUGCAGGAUAUUUGCAAAAUUGGAAUUUUCCCAACUGUGUAGGCGCAAUAGACGGUAAAGAUAUAUCAAUUCAGGCGCCACCAAAUUCGGGUAGUUUGUAUUAUAACUAUAAGAAAACAUUUAGCAUAGUAUUGUUAGCUGCAUGUGAUUAUAAUUAUAAAUUUACUUUAAUAGACGUUGGUUCUUAUGGUAGUGAAUGUGAUGGUAGUGUUCGCUGAAUCUAAUAUGUCAAAAUUACUCCGUCAAAAUGAUUUAAAUUUGCUAAAAGGAAAUGCAGAAUUACCUGGCUCUGAGUUGCAAAUGUCAUGUUUUUUUGUCGCAGAUGAUGCUUUUGCGCUUACAGAAAAUAUGAUAAAACCAUACUCAAAAAGAUAUCUUAAUAAAAAAAAAAAAAUUUUUAAUUACCGACUUUCUCGCGCUAGACGUACAAUCGAAAACGCUUUCGAUAUUUUAUCCGCUCGAUUGAAAAUUUUUCGAAGACCAAUUGCUGUUAAUCCUACUACUGUUGAUAAUAUCAUAGUAAGUGCUAUUUGUCUUCACAAUUUUUGAAAUCAGUAAAUGACGAACAAUCUGUAUCAAAAAGAAUGUACUGUCCUCCAAAUUUCGUUGAUUGUGAAGACGAAAAUGGCAAUUUGACACUAGGAAGUUGGAGAUUAGGCAAAAAAGCAAUAUGCAACCGUUGAAGAAAGCACCUCCUUGUCGAGCGGCACAAAAAGCAUUUCGGCAAAGAGAUAUUUUGGCAGAAUAUUUUUUAACUGCAGAGGGUGAAGUACCUUGGCAGUAUGACUAUGUUCAAAGAGGACGCUAUGCUGCCUAAAUUUUUAGCGAGUUUAAAUUUAAUUUACAGUUACUUGUACACAUUUACUAAUUAUUUUUAUUAGCUUGGCCAAUAAGUCCGUGCGGUUUUUUUUCACAUGUAAAUCAUCGGCAAAAAUCGCACGGACUUAUUGGCCAACUAAUAUAUUAAUUAUAUGUUAUUAUAUUUUAGUAAUUAAGUUAGUAAUAGUAAUACAGUUAAUAGUGUAUAGUUUUAGUUAAUUGUUAUUCUAAUUAUAUUAACAUUACCAUUAUAGUUAUGUAUACAUAUAACUAGUGUGUUUAAAGUGUUUGAACACAUACAAAAAAGAUAUUCAAAAAAUCUUUAAAUUGAAUUAAAUUAAAUUAUUCAAUUUUAUAUUUUUUUCCUAUUUUUGCUGUUUUUUUAACUUACAAGUAUCAAACACGAACAUAAACCAAUGUAAAUAUAAAAUAUUUUAAUAGAGGUGUAGUGUAAACAAGAAUAAAGGUGCGUAAUGUAAA